rnacentral:lncRNA from 1 species
AGAGUUCUUUUUACAGUUAUUGGACAAACUCAUUUUUAGAUAGAGGACCACUACUAUGUUCACCGAAUAAGUUCACCAACAUUAUCCCACCCACUUAGAUUGGUAGCUGGCUUGGCAGCCAUUCAUUGUGCACGGAUGUUAUCCAGCAUACAUGGAAGCCUGUGGCAGCCUGCCACAACUCGGUGGAUGGUUAAGUGAAGGUAUUAUGCUCAUCAGUUUCCUUCCAUAUAUGAUGCUAUACAUGGGAGAGAAAGAUAAUUCUCCAAAGUCCCACAACUCAAUAAUCCAAUACAUCUCCUAAAUUGUUCUCAAUAGUAAUAAGCCAGUUAACGACCAUUAGCAAGCUGUUUGUUAAAAAAAUACAGGAGAUAUUGAAUUUAAGGUCAAUUCCAAUACAUCUCCUGAAUUGUUCUCGAUAGUAAUAAGCCAGUUAACGACCAUUAGCAAGCUGUUUGUUAAAAAAAUACAGGAGAUAUUGAAUUUAAGGUCAAUCCUACCCGAUUGUAUGGAAACUUGAGAAGAUCAAGGAACCAACAUGGAAGUCCUUUGUUUGGUCAGUAAGAACUAGAGGAAAUUGAGUUCAGAUAUUACUUAUUUCAGCAAAACGAAUCAACAUGAAUUGCAUACGAGCUAACCGAAAUUGAAUCUAUAACAGCCAAAACCCAAAUUGCAUAUAAACUGAUAUGAAAAUGCUAGACAUGUAUUUGUGUGGCUGCUAAAAAGCUGUUUUCAGUCGCAAUGGUAAAUGUUGCUAGCUAACAUUUAAAACCUGAAAUAAAUAUCGCAAUAAAGAAUCCCACUUUGAAAUCCAUGUAAAGAAUUCCUUCGUAUAUGAUAAACAUUCUUAACACCGGCUCAAUCUAUGCAUUGGUUGCUUACAAUCCAAAGCAGGGUUAUCAUUUCUAGUAUUAGCCUAAGAAUUCAGCCUUUGCAUGCAAUACAAACCACAACAACCAUAAAACAUCAACAGUGACAAAAAAACA